rnacentral:rRNA from 1 species
GCUGCCCUCUUUCUUCGUGCCUAAUACAUGCAAGUCGAGCGAACGGACGAGAAGCUUGCUUCUCUGAUGUUAGCGGCGGACGGGUGAGUAACACGUGGAUAACCUACCUAUAAGACUGGGAUAACUUCGGGAAACCGUAGCUAAUACCGGAUAAUAUUUUGAACCGCAUGGUUCAAAAGUGAAAGACGGUCUUGCUGCCACUUAUAGAUGGAUCCGCGCUGCAUUAGCUAGUUGGUAAGGUAACGGCUUACCAAGGCAACGAUGCAUAGCCGACCUGAGAGGGUGAUCGGCCACACUGGAACUGAGACACGGUCCAGACUCCUACGGGAGGCAGCAGUAGGGAAUCUUCCGCAAUGGGCGAAAGCCUGACGGAGCAACGCCGCGUGAGUGAUGAAGGUCUUCGGAUCGUAAAACUCUGUUAUUAGGGAAGAACAUAUGUGUAAGUAACUGUGCACAUCUUGACGGUACCUAAUCAGAAAGCCACGGCUAACUACGUG